UACGAAGGGGGCUAGCGUUGUUCGGAAUUACUGGGCGUAAAGCGCACGUAGGCGGAUAUUUAAGUCAGGGGUGAAAUCCCGGGGCUCAACCCCGGAACUGCCUUUGAUACUGGGUAUCUUGAGUGUGGUAGAGGUGAGUGGAAUUCCAGGUGUAGCGGUGAAAUGCGUAGAUAUCUGGAGGAACACCGGUGGCGAAGGCGACAUCCUGGACCGGUAUUGACGCUGAGGCGCGAAAGCCAGGGGAGCAAACGGG
rnacentral:rRNA from 1 species